rfam:Candidatus Thioglobus singularis PS1, complete genome.
AUGACAGACUCAAAAUUUCCUGACUUUCAGGCCGGUUCUGAGAGGGCUUCAACGCAUGCAGUGACUGCAAUCGCUGGUGCGAAUAUUGUUUAUGAAUCUG